rnacentral:lncRNA from 1 species
AGAAAAAGAAGAAGAGAUGAAGACGCGAUCAGAAACUGAGUGGUUAGAAGGGUCUGCGGUUUAUUUAAAAUGAAAUUGGGCGUCGGUUGCGCCAGAAAGCGACGUCUAUAGACGUCGGUGUUUCAGGGGAUCCGACGUCUAGGAAGCUGAAAAGAUUGACGUUUUGGUUUCUUGUCAGGGUAGUUCACGUCGGUGCCCCUCAUAGCCGACGUCUAAAACCCUCGAAUUUGGUGAAAAUAUAGGAAGUUAGACGUAGGUGCCCCUCAGAACUGACGUCUACAUUGAAGAAUUUUUGUCUUCCCGCCUUCCAGACAGGCCUUAG